rnacentral:rRNA from 1 species
UACAGAGGGUGCGAGCGUUAAUCGGAAUUACUGGGCGUAAAGCGCGCGUAGGCGGCUUUUCAAGUCGAUUGUGAAAUCCCCGGGCUUAACCUGGGAACUGCAGUCGAGACUGUCUAGCUAGAGUAUGGGAGAGGGAAGUGGAAUUUCAGGUGUAGCGGUGAAAUGCGUAGAUAUCUGAAGGAACAUCAGUGGCGAAAGCGACUUCCUGGACCAAUACUGACGCUCAUGUGCGAAAGCCAGGGGAGCAAACGGG